AUUGAACGCUGGCGGAAUGCUUUACACAUGCAAGUCGAACGGCAGCACGGGGGCAACCCUGGUGGCGAGUGGCGAACGGGUGAGUAAUACAUCGGAACGUGCCCAGUCGUGGGGGAUAACGUAGCGAAAGCUACGCUAAUACCGCAUACGAUCUACGGAUGAAAGCGGGGGAUCGCAAGACCUCGCGCGAUUGGAGCGGCCGAUGGCAGAUUAGGUAGUUGGUGGGGUAAAGGCUCACCAAGCCUUCGAUCUGUAGCUGGUCUGAGAGGACGACCAGCCACACUGGGACUGAGACACGGCCCAGACUCCUACGGGAGGCAGCAGUGGGGAAUUUUGGACAAUGGGCGAAAGCCUGAUCCAGCCAUUCCGCGUGCAGGAUGAAGGCCCCUCGGGUUCGUAAACUGACUUUUUGUACGGAACGAAACGGCCUUUUCUAAUACAGAGGGCUAAUGACGGUACCGUAAGAAUAAGCACCGG
rnacentral:rRNA from 1 species